rnacentral:rRNA from 1 species
AUGGGAUACCGUUGCCUAAGUUGGCAAGUUAGAAAGACAGCGCCGCAGGAAGUAACCACCAAGUUUCCAACCAUGAAAGAAGCAUUCAUCCUCCUGAUUCUCAUCGCCUUCAAAGUGGCGGCGCUAUCUGCAACCACUUCUGGGAUCUCCAUAGCGUUGCCGGGGUGCCCUGACAAGUGUGGCAACGUGUCAAUCCCAUACCCUUUUGGCAUCGGCAAUGGCUGCGCCGCAGCUAGCUUGAACAGCUACUUCACCGUCACCUGUAACAGCACCUUCCAACCCCCACGACCAAUGAUUGGUGGCCCUUCGGGGUUAUCAGAGAUCAUUGACAUCUCCCUGGAGCGUGCUGAGAUGCGUGUUUACGGCCCCGUCAGCUACAACUGCUUCGCGUCGAACACCACAAUCAUGGACAACUACACCAGCGGCUUCAACUUGGUGGGUACGCCGUUCAUCCCCUCAACCAAACGCAACCGCUUCAUGGUCAUUGGCUGCAACACCAUGGGUAUCAUUGGUGGCUACCUGCACAGCAACCCAGACCUGUAUGUGGCCGGCUGCUACUCCUACUGCCAGGGCAUCAACAGCACGUCUAACGGUGCCCCGUGCACUGGGAAGGGCUGCUGCGAAACCACCAUCACCCCAAACCUCACCGACUUUGCGGCGCUCUUGAUCAUCAACCAGAGCAGUGUAUGGACAUUCAACCCAUGCUUCUACGCUAUGCUUGCAGAGGUUGGAUGGUACAGCUUCAGGCAGCAGGACCUUGUCGGGCGUCUUGGGUUCAUCAACGAGAGAGCCAAGAGAGGUGUCCCUGUUAUUGCUGACUGGGCCAUCAGAAAUGGCUCCUGCCCAAAGGAUGGAGCAACGGCGCCAAUGGGUUAUGCAUGUGUCAGUUCAAACAGCUAUUGUGUGGGUGCAACCAAUGGCCCAGGCUACAUGUGCAACUGUUCUGAAGGAUAUGAGGGCAAUCCUUAUCUCCCCAGAGGCUGUCAAGACAUAGAUGAGUGCAAGCUGCAUAAGCAAAACUCCAAGUAUACAGAAUUAUACCCAUGCAGAAAUGGGGUAUGUCGCAACAUACCAGGAGGUUAUGUAUGCAAAUGCGGGAUAGGAAAAAAAUCAGAUAGCAAAAAUUCCGGAUGUCAACCUGUGCUAACCCAAGCUGAACAGGUGGUUAUAGGCCUCAGUGUUUCCUCAGUUGUGGUGAUAGCAUUGGCAUGCCUGUUGGCCAUGAAAUUUCAAAGAAGAAAGCACAGGAAGGAGAAGGACGAGUAUUUUAAACAAAAUGGAGGUCUGAAAUUAUAUGAUGAGAUGAGGUCAAGGCAAGUGGACACCUUUCAUAUACUUACAGAGAAAGAGGUAAAGAAAGCCACAGAAAACUACAGCAACGAUCGAGUUCUUGGUUGUGGGGGUCAUGGAAUGGUUUACAGAGGAACUUUAGGUGAUGGCAAAGAAGUUGCCAUAAAGAAGUCCAAAGUAAUCAACGACGACUGCAGAGAAGAAUUUGUAAAUGAGAUAAUAAUAUUGUCACAGAUUAACCAUAGGAACAUCGUGAGGUUACUUGGUUGCUGCUUGGAGGUAGACGUUCCAAUGUUGGUGUAUGAGUUCGUAUCCAAUGGUACCCUCUUUGAGUUCCUUCAUAGCAAUGAUCAUAAAUCAAUAAUCCCAUUGGAUCUUCGACUGAAGAUUGCUACACAAUCAGCAGAGGCCCUUGCUUACAUCCAUUCAUCAACUUCUCGCACAAUUCUGCAUGGGGAUGUCAAAUCACUCAAUAUACUUUUGGAUAAUGAAUACAAUGCAAAAGUUGCAGAUUUUGGAGCAUCGGCACUGAAGCCCAUAGACAAGAAUGAUUUCAUCAUGUUUAUCCAAGGAACUCUUGGGUACCUUGACCCUGAGUCUUUUGUCAGUCAUCACCUUACUGACAGAAGCGAUGUCUACAGUUUUGGGGUUGUUCUUCUAGAGCUACUAACAAGAAAGAAGGCUAUAUUCAUUGAUAAUCUUAAUGAACAGAAAGCGCUAUCGCAUGCCUUCCUCAUGACGUUUCACCAGAAGAAGCUCCGCGAUAUAUUGGAUGAUGAUAUAAUAGAAGAUGAAGUUACGGUGGUGCUCGAGAAACUAGCUGAACUCGUCAUGCAUUGUUUGAACCCAAGAGGAGAUGAGAGGCCAACAAUGAAGGAAGUAGCAGAGCGUUUGCAAAUGUUGAGGAGAAUCCAGAUGCAGCAAGUCACCACACCAAAUCCUAUGAGGACGCAAUACCCUGAUGGAGAAUCAUCAAUGUCUAUAGCUUCUGACGAAAUGAAAUACCAGAGCACCAACACAGCCAAAUUGGUCCUAGAUGUAGAUCGUGCAAGAUGA